rnacentral:tRNA from 1 species
GGCCGCGUAGCUUAAUAGCAUAGAGCAAGAGUUUCCUAAACUCUAGGUUGUGGGUUGGAGUCCCACCGCGGUCACCA